CAUGCUUUUCUCCACUAGAAAAAUUUGGGGCUUGGGGGGAUCUGGGCUUCAGCUACAAUUCAAAAGUGACUUUAGACCUUUUCAAACCCUAUUCCUGGACUCCUACAGAUAUUUUCUUUGUUGCAUUUGUGGUGUCCACAUAUCACAAAAAGCAUCCAAUAGUUCUGACUGGUGACUCUGGUGUAUUUUAACACAGUGAGAGGAUCAUUGCACUGGCAGCAUACAUAUGUGGGUUUAGGAGAAUAAUAAUUUCAAUCUCUGCAUCUAUCAUUAUUUUAAGAACCAAACAGGCAAUCAGCCUCAAAAAGCACAGUUGUUUUUAGAUCCUUACCUACAAAAGUAUUCUUACCCUAAAAAGUAAACCAAUAUAAGGAUAAACCAACAAUGGCUGCAGUCAGAUAAUACGAGUUGUGCAUUAAUGACAUUACGCCACUAGGACAAUAUUGAGUACUUGAACAGCAUUCACUUUACUUAUAUAUUCAAUAUCUGUGCCAUCAUAGCAAAGAUAAGUCUAUAAUUAUUAUUCAUCACUUUUAAAAGAACAAUCAAGACUGCCUUUAAAGCAUGGGCCUUGUAACAGCAUUUGAAGGCAAUUCCUGAUGAUGUAAUGAGCUGUUUAUGUGCAAUAAAUAUUCCAGUUUUUGCACAUAAUCCAACACAAUGUCUGUUUUUGGUGUUGUGAUGAAGUUUUAUGUGCAAUAAACGAUUGCAAGAUAUCCAUUUUAUUUUUAAAUAGGUCCAUCUGUGGUAGCUAUUGAAAUAGGCAUCCACACAUCCCUGAAAAAUGCAUCACACUACUUUUGGGUCAGUGUGGCUCUAAGUCAGCCUCAUUAUACAAGACUACACAGCACUUCCUUGAGACAGAUUUUGAAAAUGUACUGUAUUUCUAUAAUAUAAAGUCAAUGAAAACUGCAUUUGAUUUUCUCUGUAAGCCAAGAAAUCUCUAAAUUAUACUGAAAAAAUAGUAAUUACAACUUACUCGUAGUAUUUUUAAUCUUCCUCUUCAUAUACACUUCAUCUUCAUAUAUCCCUGCACUGCUAAAAUAACACUCAAGGACCUCCAAAGCUCUGUUGCAGCAACAUGCACAUUUUUGUUGGCGUGAAUGCUCCUACCAGGUUGACACGAAGGAAGAUAAACAUUUGAAAAGGCCCCUGGGGGUGAGUGGCCUGUAGAGACACCUGCAUCCAACACAAUAGAGUCGUAUUGGCUAAAUAUGGACAAAGGAAACAGCAGAGAGCAUCAGACUCCAAAGUGCACAUCAGACAGAGAUGGGAAAGAGUGAGAAAGAGAAAAACAAAUUGAAUUUCUCUAGUGGAGAAAAGGAUGUUAUAAAUAAAUUCUCAGAUACAUGACCAAAUGUUACGUGAUUUAAACAGAUGUGUGCAAAACAGACAUUAUUUGCACAGUAAGAAAGAAAGAAAGAAAGAAAGAAAGAAAGAAAGGUAAAGAAAAAAGAAGUUAAUAGUUGACAUGGUCUGGACCUGACAUGUUGAAGAUGUCUUUCAUACUAUACUCUGAACCUGUCUACACUCGUCCUUCCAGCUGCUGACAGAGUAGCUGCAACACACACAUUCCUUAGAGGAAGCAAAGGAGGGCAAGGAGGCUGAGAGAGAAAAUGAAAAACCAAACGAUCACUAAAAACAAGACUAUCGCUGAUAUCACAAGAUAUUACUGAUUUUCUAGUAAUAUCACUGAUAUUUCUUAAAAAAAAAAAAAAAAAAGUGUAACAAAACCAGUACGGAGGAGAUUUAAUGAGAAUUAGAGAGAGUUGGGAACAGACUGUAGGCUUCUUGAGGCGCCACCAGCAGCCUAUAAUUGGCUACUAUUGGUUGAAGUUUCAGGAAUAAAGGCAGCCCUAAGCGAUGCAUAGGAUGCUAAUGAAUGAAAAUGCUCGAUCUCUGCUAAGAAGGCCCUCAAUGAUUAAAGAGACCAGGCAGAUUUUUAAAAAUGAUGGGAAACGGUUGAAAAGGCUGGGACAUUGGUAUAAGACUUGGGAAUUUAAAAAUUUCAUCUUUUAUUUAAUAAGAAUUUAAAAGGAAAUUGGAGCAAUGUGUUUUAGCCAAUGGGACAGGAAUGACAGCUGCCUAUGGAAUUUAAAUAGUAUGAUUAUUAGAUUAGUGCAAGGGUGAAGAUGCCUUCACACAUACAGUGAUUUUAUUGCUGCUAGUCGCCAGUCACUGUAUUAUGAAGACGACAGUAGACAUUCCUACUGCUGGUUGCCAUAGUAACAUGGGUGGCGCAACUAGCAUUCAACUUUUGACAACAAACCAGUUUUCUUGUUGGGAGCCGGACCGCAGCUCUUUGGCCGUGGCCUCUGUGUUUCCUGGGUGAAGUUCCUGGGUGCUGAAGCAGUGACAAGCCAGACACUUCACCCAAGACAGGAGCUACACUAGGAUUUUACUUGAUUACAACAAAAAGAAGGGGAAAAGUGUUUGGGGGAAACGCUGACAAAGAAAAAGAGAGACAGGGGCAGAGAGAUAUGAUAUCAGAACAACCAUCACAAAACUUGGAGAAAAUGAGAUGCAUUGAGACUGGAGAGGGGACAGAUUGAUGGUACUGUCAGGUGCAUUCAGAAGACCUGGAUUAUUUAAGAAGGUCCAAGCCAAUAGGCUAAACAUAUACUGGGUAAAAUAGGAAGCCAUCACACAUGCAGAGGCACAGAAGGGACAGCCCCGUGUCAAAACCAACGGUGACCAGAAAGCACGUGACAGUGGGGCGGAGCUGCCGUCACACCUCCAGCCAGUGAUUGGUGCGCCGAUCAGAAAAAAAAAAAUCCACCAUACAGCAGACGAGGGAAGAGUAUAAGAGGCCACUCUUUCUCUCAUCCGGAGAGAAGUAUCUCUUAUGACAUGCGCGCGUCGCUUCUCCCCAAUACCCGUCAAUACCCGGAGCGGGGCUAUCACCGUAACCUGCAUCCAUGGGGAUACCCGGGAAGUUCCUGCGGCCGAGGUCCAGAUCCAGAGUAAAGCUGGGGUCUGGCCCCUCCAAGCUGGCGUUAUUCCCGAUCUCCCGGUGCCCCUGCUCCUCGGAAGAGACUGGCCAGGGUUCCCGACUGACCCAGCGCUAGGGUCCGGCAAAGCACCUCAGCGCACGAAGGAGAGCUGAGCCCAGCAGGCCUACUUGGCACAGGACGACGGGGACACCACCGCGGAAGGUAAGCUGCACAUACAUUCUAACUCAAUGUCGUCAGUAUUUCACCAGGUGUACCGGCAGGGGAAUUUUGGACAGGAGCAGAAGGAGGACGACUGCCUGAAAAACUGCUGGGCCCAGGUGCGAGUGAUAGAGGGGAUCGACCAGGACCCUAACUGGAGGCUUCCCUCCUCCUACUUCCUUAUCCGGGGUGGCCUAGUCUAUCAAUGGGCCUGCCGCCAAGGGGAGCAGGUAGACCUGUCUACUUCCCCAGGAAUGACCCAGCUGGUACACCACAAAAUCAAAACCCCACCAGGAGUGGUGGUGCUGCAGCGGCCCCAUCGGGUCCCGGAGGCCCGCCGCCAGGCUAUAGAGGAGGAAGUUGGCUGGAUGCUGCGAGAUAACAUCUAAGCCUGAUGGAAGCAUGCAGCUGUGCAAUGACUUCCGGAAGCUGAACCAGGUUUCGGAAUUCGACAGCUAUCCCCUCCCUCUAGUGGACGACCUAGUGGAGCGGCUGGGGAGGGCCCGCUUUAUAUCCACCAUGGACCUGACCAAGGGAUACUGGCAAGUCGCCCUAGCCCCAGAGGCGAGACCAAAAGGCGGCCUUCAGCACGGCGAACGGCCACUGGCAAUACCGGAGGAAGGUCUGAAGGAGCUCCGGAAGGCCGGGCUGACCGCCAACCCCAAAAAGUGUCACUUGGGGCUGACCGAGGCACAGUAUCUCGGGUACCGUAUUGGCCGGGGCUUGCUCAAGCCCCAGACCCACACACACUCACACACACACACACACACACACACACAGACACACAGCUCCUCACCCCUAAAAGGAAAAAGCAAAGAAAAUAAAAGCAAACUUCCCUGACCACCUGACAAACGGCCUCCUGUGUGUCUGUGCUCCGCCCCUCACAGGCUAUUUCCCUACAACAGUAAAAGUAAUUGUGUUAAUAAUUACUUGAGUAAGAGUAAUUUAGUAUCCAAUGAGAAGACACAAGUAGCAAGUUACUAGUUACUUCGGAUCUGAUUAAAAUGAAGGGAAAAUCAUGAAUCUCAGACUACUUGGAGAACUGUAAGUUAAACCUUUCCUUGAAAGUUUGUCUCUGCUGUUUAUAUGAUAUAAAACCUUGGUUCAAGAUGAAGCAGCAUAUCCCAGUCCUAUGAUGGGUACAAUAAUACACAACCUGUCAUUGUCAACACAAAAUCUCUCUCACACACACCAAAAAUUUUCCCAACAGAAAAUUUUACAACCACAUGUUAAGAACACAAACUUGUCAGCAUCUGCAUUUAAACAAGACAACAGAGAACAAAAGAAGAGACUAUGGAACAGAAGAAAAAGUGUGUGUUAGUAUGUAUGUUUGUGUGUUUGUGUGUGUGUGUGUGUGUGUGUGUGUGUCCUGCCUCCACCGACACACUGGCUUCUUCCCCCUCUCCACUACUGAGCUACUGAAAAAGUGAGUGGUUGUUGUGUCUGCAUUCAGACCACUGAAGCAUAUCUAGAGAGACUCGACCUCGUUAUACGUGACAUAAACGAAUCAUUAAAACUACAUAUAUUCAUUAACAUUUAACAGUAAUGGAGGAGUGAAUGUAAUGCCAUUGAAUGUAGAGAAGUAAAAGUACAUUUCUGUGAUUAAAAAUGAACUUCAGUAAUAGUGUAUGUAUGGCCAAUUAAACCUACUCGUAAAAGUA